GCCCUAGUGGCUCAAUGGUUAAGUGCUUGGCUGCUAACCAAAAGGUCAGCGGUUCAAACCCACCUAGUGGCU
rnacentral:tRNA from 1 species